GACGAACGCUGGCGGCGUGCUUAACACAUGCAAGUCGAACGAUGAAGCUGGAGCUUGCUCCGGUGGAUUAGUGGCGAACGGGUGAGUAACACGUGAGCAAUCUGCCCUUGACUCUGGGAUAACUGCGGGAAACUGUAGCUAAUACCGGAUACUUUCACUGGAAGGCAUCUUCUGGUGAAGAAAGAAUUUCGGUCAAGGAUGAGCUCGCGGCCUAUCAGCUUGUUGGUGGGGUAACGGCUCACCAAGGCGACGACGGGUAGCCGGCCUGAGAGGGUGACCGGCCACACUGGGACUGAGACACGGCCCAGACUCCGACGGGAGGCAGCAGUGGGGAAUAUUGCACAAUGGGCGCAAGCCUGAUGCAGCAACGCCGCGUGAGGGAUGAAGGCAUUCGGGUUGUAAACCUCUUUUAGCAGGGAAGAAGCGAAAGUGACGGUACCUGCAGAAAAAGCACCGGCUAACUACGUGCCAGCCGCCGCAGUAA
rnacentral:rRNA from 1 species